GCGUAGCUCCGUAGAUAGCGCCCUACCACAGAGACCAGAGAUAGCAGUACCCCGUCGACAUAGCUUAGGGGUAUAGAAAAUGAUAUAGAACACAAUGUAUCAAAUUUGUAAUAAGUAAAUGAUGUAAUAACUUAGAUUGCAUUUGAAUGAAAAAGAAUGGUAAUUAGGAUGUAACAUGUAUGAAUGUGAAUGCUUGUAAUAACAUAAGAUGUAUUUAUGCAGUUUGAUACCUUCCUUAUGCAAUCUUGUUUGAAAUAUGUUCCUGGUUGGAACUUCGUACAUUGUAUUGAUUGCGAUGCCUUGAACGUACAGGGGAGACUCUGUCUGCAGUACAGGGAAAACCCUAUCCGUUUGGUGCUGUCGGCGUGCCCGCACCCGGCCAAAUAGGUGGGUAGUCGCGGGGCGUUACAGGAUAGCUUAUAAAGGCAGGUUAAACCUUUUGGGCAGAACUGUAAUUGACAUGAAUCUAAGAUAGAGGAAAACUUAGAAGUCAAUUGGAUGAGUUAUGGAUAGCA
rnacentral:lncRNA from 1 species